rnacentral:rRNA from 1 species
AUGUUGUCGGCUGCCACAAGAGUGAAAGUCCGUCGGGCGGUGCCUCUGUGGGGUCUCCAAGACAAUGACGAUGAAAUGAAGCUACAAGACCAGCCUGCUCCCUCUAGGGAUGCGGCAACCAUCAAUGGACAGAAAUUCCUAUUCUUGGACCUUGAGUUCUCUCCUCUCCCAGCUUGCACUCGUGACUGGCUAGAGAGCAACUACCGCAUUCAUGGUUUCAUCAAAGUUUCCACCAGUCUGAUUCUUCUUCUGAAUAUUGUAGCGUUGCUGCACUAUUUCUGGCAUGUCUCUAUAUUGCCAUUGGAUGCCAAGCGGAAAGUCUCAGUUAUCUAA